AACGCACAUUGCGCCUUUUGGCAUUCCGAAAGGCAUGCCUGUUCGAGCGUCAUAAAACCCAUUUAAACUCCGACUUUGUGUUGGUGGUUUGCUAUUGAGGGAAUGAGAGAAGUAUUCUCUCCCCCUUGAAUUACAUUGGCAGAUCGUUAGUAUUUUUUGUUUCUAGCAAAGAAAAUGACGGUAGUAGUAAAUAGAUAUUAUAUUCUUCUUACCUUUUUCAUUUAUUUGAUAGGAAUAUUAUAGGUGCUAUAUGAUUCUUGCCAUAAUAAUCAAUCUACAUUUUUUUUUUUUUUUUUGACCUCGAAUCAGGUAGGGAUACCCGCUGAACUUAA
rnacentral:misc_RNA from 1 species